rnacentral:rRNA from 1 species
AGAACGAACGCUGGCGGCAGGCUUAACACAUGCAAGUCGAACGCGUGUAGCAAUACACGAGUGGCGCACGGGUGAGUAACGCGUGGAUAUCUGCCUUUUGGUUCGGAAUAACCCCGGGAAACUGGGGCUAAUACCGGAUGGUUCCUACGGGAUAAAGAUUUAUCGCCAAAAGAUGAGUCCGCGUCCGAUUAGCUAGUUGGUGGGGUAAUGGCCUACCAAGGCGUCGACGGGUAGCUGGUCUGAGAGGACGAUCAGCCACACUGGAACUGAGACACGGUCCAGACUCCUACGGGAGGCAGCAGUGGGGAAUCUUGCGCAAUGGGCGAAAGCCUGACGCAGCAACGCCGCGUGGGGGAUGAAGGCUCUCGGGUUGUAAACCCCUUUCAGUAGGGACGAAAUCAGACGGUACCUACAGAAGAAGCCCCGGCCAACUACGUGCCAGCAGCCGC